rnacentral:rRNA from 1 species
GACGAACCGUGCGAACGUUGUUCGGAAUCACUGGGCUUAAAGGGCGCGUAGGCGGGCUGUCAAGUCCGGGGUGAAAUCCUCCCGCUCAACGGGAGAACGGCCUCGGAUACUGAUGGUCUCGAGGGAGGUAGGGGCACGCGGAACUGUGGGUGGAGCGGUGAAAUGCGUUGAUAUCCAUAGGAACUCCGGUGGCGAAAGCGGCGUGCUGGACCUUUUCUGACGCUGAUGCGCGAAAGCCAGGGGAGCAAACGGG